ACACUUGACGGAUAUAUGUUGCUGAAUCGAGCAGAGUUUUAUUUAAAACUAUCUCUUUUUUUAUUAAAAAAACGACCAAAAUUAUCUCAUAAAGCAAGCUCAUGUGGGGCACAUCAAAUCCCGAGUGGAAAAAUUCUACUAAGGGCGUCUAAAUGAAAGAUUACACGGUUUUUUGUCACGAUUUUUAGAUUCUAAAAAUCGGAAAAAUAAUUUUUAAGAUCUAUAUCUUCUAGCUACAUUUUUACUUUAGCAGAACUAUUCUUUUCACAUAUAAAUAAUAAUGUGUGGUAUGACUUUGUACUGUUCGAUUAUUGACCCUAGGAGUACUUAGCCUUUGGUAGAGACGUAAUUACCACACUACCAUGUAAAAAGUGAUCCCAGCAUUUCGUCUAUGUUUAGAAUAUGACACGAAAUAAA
rnacentral:lncRNA from 13 species